UUUCCGUAGGUGAACCUGCGGAAGGAUCAUUAAAGAGUAAGGGUCUUCGGGCCCGAACUCCAACCCUUUGUUUAACUACCAUGUUGCUUUGGCGGGCCCGUCUCACGACCGCCGGAAGUUUGGCUUCGACCAAACUUCUGGCCCGUGCCCGUCAGUGGCCCCUUCAAAUUCUUGAUCAAGUAUGAUGUCUUAGUUAAAAACUUAAUAGUUAAAACUUUCAACAACGGAUCUCUUGGUUCUG
rnacentral:misc_RNA from 1 species